UACGGGGGGGAGCAAGCGUUGUUCGGAUUUACUGGGCGUAAAGGGCGCGUAGGCGGCCACCGCAAGUCGACUGUGAAAUCUCCGGGCUUAACCCGGAAAGGUCAGCCGAUACUGCGGGGCUAGAGUGCAGAAGGGGCAACUGGAAUUCUCGGUGUAGCGGUGAAAUGCGUAGAUAUCAGGAGGAACACCGGUGGCGAAGGCGGCAUCCUGGACCGGUAUUGACGCUGAGUGCGCGAAAGCCAGGGGAGCAAACGGGG
rnacentral:rRNA from 1 species